GCCGCCGUGUGGGAAAGCGACCCGCCAUAACGGUACCAGAAAGCGGAAACGCAGGAGAGACACAGAAAGUAUUUGGAUUCCGGACAAGUACUCAACCAGUGAUUGAAAGUGGAGAGAAGGACAAGUUGUUCUGUCAAAGGCUAGGUUGUCACAAUGCAACCGUGUCUGACUGUGGGAAAAGCUGCGACUGGCUCCCAUGGAGAAAUUUUCUACAGUGUUCCCCCCCAUUCCCAGAGGAAUUGUUUACAGCAAAAAUCUGCAGUCUCUGCUCAACUGUGCUACCCAGCAAAAAGGGAGCACCUGGCUAAUGCUUUGCAGCAGAAGAUACGAGUUCCAUAUAAAUCCCGGUGCUGCUAGCUCUCUAUUCAGCCUGCACAGCUCAGUGAGGGUGUAUCUGGUGUUGUUUUUUGAAACAAUGCAUGUGGAAGUAUUGUAUUAGGAAGCUCAUCCAGUCAAGGAUUUGUUUUCUGCUUUGAGAUCUACAUCCUCCCUAGGUGAGCCUAGAUGUCUCCGUUAUGCAUCAGGAGACAGGAGGAGUUUGGAAAACUACCUCAAAGGUCUGAGGUUCCUGCUUGUAUCCAGUGAUGUCACUUCAUCUACCUCACUGUAUCAAGACUCCUGAUUAACAUUUGAUUUUUUUCUUUUUUGGAGAUUGUUAUCAUUAUCCAUCAAUUCAAAUGUUAUGUUCAUGAGAAGAGCCACAACCUGACCGUAGCUGAAAUGCCUUUAAUGCAGCUGCAGAGACUUAAAUCAGUUAAGUAUUUGCCUUCCUUU
rnacentral:lncRNA from 1 species